rnacentral:tRNA from 1 species
GCCUGACUGGCUUAGUCGUAGAACAUGCGACUGUGGAUCUCAGGGUAAUGGGUUCAAGCCCCAUGUUGGGUG